rnacentral:rRNA from 1 species
UACGUAGGGGGCAAGCGUUGUCCGGAAUCACUGGGCGUAAAGCGCACGUAGGCGGACUCUUAAGUCGGUGGUGAAAUCCUGGAGCUCAACUCCAGAACUGCCUUCGAUACUGGGAGUCUCGAGUCCGGGAGAGGUGAGUGGAACUGCGAGUGUAGAGGUGAAAUUCGUAGAUAUUCGCAAGAACACCAGUGGCGAAGGCGGCUCACUGGCCCGGUACUGACGCUGAGGUGCGAAAGCGUGGGGAGCAAACAGG